UACGUAGGGGGCAAGCGUUGUCCGGAUUUACUGGGCGUAAAGAGCGUGUAGGCGGCCAAACAGGUCCGUUGUGAAAACUGGAGGCUCAACCUCCAGACGUCGACGGAAACCGUGUGGCUAGAGUCCGGAAGAGGAGAGUGGAAUUCCUGGUGUAGCGGUGAAAUGCGCAGAUAUCAGGAAGAACACCCGUGGCGAAAGCGGCUCUCUGGGACGGUACUGACGCUGAGACGCGAAAGCGUGGGGAGCGAACAGG
rnacentral:rRNA from 1 species